UACAGAGGUCUCAAGCGUUGUUCGGAAUCACUGGGCGUAAAGGGCGCGUAGGCGGCCGAUCAAGUCGGGGGUGAAAGCCUGUGGCUUAACCACAGAAUGGCCUUCGAUACUGUUUGGCUUGAGACCGGAAGAGGUUAGUGGAACUGCGAGUGUAGAGGUGAAAUUCGUAGAUAUUCGCAAGAACACCAGUGGCGAAGGCGGCUGACUGGUCCGGUUCUGACGCUGAGGCGCGAAAGCGUGGGGAGCAAUCAGG
rnacentral:rRNA from 1 species